GUGUCUCGUUAGGCUUUUUAUCUCUGAGGGAUAUCUGUUCCCCUUGCCCUUUGGGGUAUCUGUUUCUCCCUCCCCGAUCUGGUUUGGAAAGAUAUAAGAGGACUACUCUCAGUGGAUGACGGCAUACCCUUUGAUGAGAGUGGUAUCGCAUUAUCUGUAGGGGUUACCCGUGGCUAAGUAAUGUUAUAACUAUUGACUAUCUAUUAAGACUACUAUGAUUAGUACAGCGUGAUCAUAGAUCGUACCAUAGUUUUGCCAGUUGGGAGUGGGCUUGAGCGAAUUGCUGCAUCUGUAU
rnacentral:lncRNA from 1 species